rnacentral:lncRNA from 1 species
AAUAUAUGUUAAAGGAGGAGGUUUGUGCUCUAGAACUUGUCUUAUUGGAGCAGCUGGUAUAACUGGAAGAAGUAAAGCUAUUUCUUCUACGUACAAACCUUGUCUUGAGUUGGAGAAUCAACUCAGCCUGUUGACUUCACUGUCAUCAGCUAGAAGAUCUUCAUGUAACUGGCUGAAAAAUGGUUCUACAAGAUGACAGCCCCAACUCUAACACAGUUAAAAUGGAGAUUGUCUUCACUUUGACAUGAGGUGUGAAGUUUGCUAGAUUUUUUUUUUGUUUUGAAAUUAUUGUGGAAGGUAUGUAUAAGAAAAAUAAGUCCUGUUCCUUCUAUGUUCAUUUUUAUCAGAGCAUAUUGCUAUCAAUGUGCAGGAGCCAUAUAUAAAGAACUGUGGGGUUUAUUUUGUUACAAGUUAAUUAU